CCUAAACCUAAUCUAGUGCGCCUCCUCCCCAACCUGCACGCCGCCGCCCGUCCCCUGACCACCCCCUCCCCGCCCCUCGCACCACACACCUGUGGCCCACAGCCCAUCAUCCACCCAGGAGCAGCAGCGCCGUCCGCUGCACCGAGGAGCAGCUACGCCGUCCGCCGCGUCGAGGAGCAGCUUUGCCGUCCGUUGCGCCGAGGAGCAGCCGUGCCGUCCGCUGUGCAGAGGAGCAGCAACACCUACCACCGGCAAGGAGAAGCAGCAAGGUGAGCUGCGAGGAUCCACCGUUGUUCUUCCUCCAUGGGUGACCUCUGCUCCGGCUGAUUUACUUUCCUCCGCCCCGCCUACCGAAUUCAAGAGAUGCAAAUGGAAACAUGCAAGAUGGAACUUAGUGCCCAGAUAAACCCUUCAAACUUUAUAAGGUGAUGUACAAUUGUCUGAUGAUUUGCUGCUCCAUAUUCAUUUUACAAGAGUCUAAUUCAUUUCUUUUGGCUGUCAAACUUGGAGUUGGAACAUGGCAUCAACAUUGCCUACUGGAGAGGAUGGUUGCUGCUGUGGAGAGUUGAAACAGGGCAUCAACAUUGCCUACUGGAGAGGAAGAGUUUGAACAGGAUUCUUGAAUAUGUUCCUGACCUCACGCAAUGGAUCGUCCGUCUGAUCUCGUCGUCCAAUGACCAAGAGUUCUGAGACGAAUGUGUGGUGCCGCUCGGGAAACAUAGGGACAUGGCAGAAAGUAGCAAGUCCACAAGUUGAUCUAAAAUGUUCCGGUGAUCGCAUUUGUUCAUAACAUGGUAGACACAUUUUGUUCAUAUGGAAGUUGAUGCCACUUGGUGAUUGAAGGAUUGGUCUCUUUCAUGAUAUUUUGUAGUAGUCAAGUGAUCAAACAAUUGGUCUCUUAGGGCUUAGCCCUUAUAUUUUGUAGCAGGACACGUCUUGUAUGUCGACUUAUGUAUUUUCUUCAUGGUUGGAACAAACUUGAGUGAAGAUAACUAAUGUUCAAUAUAUGUUGAAUAAAUAUAUUAGUGAUUGGUAUCUUGUGAUGAAUAGA